rnacentral:lncRNA from 1 species
AGCACGUUUUUGGUUUUAGUGUAAGGGAUGUUGAUCGAAAUUCUGACUUCGCUUCCGCAUUUGACAUUUUUAAUACACAUAUUUCAUUUUAAAUUUUCGGAGCCGUUACACUAGCCGCCAGAACCCUCGCCGGAGAAGACGAUCCAGCCACCGGAGGAGCCGGUCGCCGCCACCCGCUGCUGCACUAGAGGAUUUUUCGGCUGCCAAACGAGGUAAAAUUUCUCCCCUUGGCUCGUUUUUCGAUGCUGAACCUCCUUGUGGCCAAAUCAGAGCCAAAUCACCAGCAGAUUGGCCGAAAAACACUGCCGAAGUCUAGCGGCGCUGUCGUGGGUUUCCUCAAUUUUUGCCUCCGAUGAGGCCCUUCCCGAAUCCCAUUUGAUGUAAUUUUUAUACCACUGUGACCACCGUCUUUUUUUCUACAGUUGACUAGAGCAAAACACCAAAUCACAACUCGUGCCGGAGGAGCCGCCGUACCCGAGAGCUUCGCCGCCGGUAAGUCUCAGUUUUCUGAAAUUUUUUGGACCACCGAGGGCCCUAGGGGUGUUUUAUCACAAGAAACAAUGCAAGUUUGGCCGAAUUCAGCUGAAAACGGUCAGAAACGGCCAACCCGAGGUGGAUCGCCGUCAGAGCACGGCGGCUCCGCCGUGCCAGAAUUCUGAAAUUGGCCGAAAGGGCCCUGGGUCUGAUUUGGAAUUUUUUGGGGACAUGUGCAGGUACCGGAAGUGUGUUUUAGUUUUCGAAAAAAUUUCAGAGAAUCUAGGGAUUGCCUAUAGGCGCAGUGAGAACUCGAUUUGAGACUCCG